rnacentral:lncRNA from 1 species
AGUAUGGUCCAUGGAAAACAUGCAGAGGAAAUGGCCCCACAGCAUUGGCUGAGUGUUUAUAUCUUCCAACCGAGUCUCCAUCGAACUGUUGUGGUGUUGCUGACUUGGCCUAGGUCACCUGAGUUAAAAGGGUUGCAUUCCCUUUCCAGUAUGGUCCAUGGAAAACAUGCAGAGGAAAUGGCCCCACAGCAUUGGCUGAGUGUUUAUGUCAUCCAACCGAGUCUCCAUCGAACUGUUGUGGUGUUGCUGACUUGCCCUAGGUCACUUGAGUUAAAUGAGAUGCAUUCCUUUUCCUUCAUGGGCCAUGAGUGACAUCCAGAGAAAGUGUCACCACAACACUGGACAAAAGUUGAUGAUAUCUGAAUGAGCUACCAGUAAACCCCCCCCUUUUUUUGCUGUUAUUGCCUUGCCUGAGGAAAAGCGAGUUAAAAGAUGAUACCUACAGUGAUGAGUUGGAGUUAUAGAUGGUGCCAUUUCUUCUACCAGCAGCUUCACCAAAACAAUCUCCAUUAUACAUGCUGAUGCCUCUUUCCUGUGUAGCAGCAGACACCACCUGCAGAUAAGAAAUGCUUAAGUGAGAAAUGCUCAUUUUGGGAUAUCAUCGCUGAAACUAUAAUUUGGGCAUGGUGACUGUUUCCCUUGCUGCCACUUGACUCAAUCUCAGAAGUUUAAUAGAUCAAAUAAUAUUGUACAAUAUGCUCAAAAUGGUGGAAGUAAUUAGUGCUCCUAUAAAUAUAUAUUGACAAUUUAAAUAUAACAUAUUAAAAAUAAAAUGCAUGAUUAAACAAACCUGAAUGCAUACUUAUAUAAUUAAUACAUAAAAUAUGUGCUGCCUCUUUUUUGAAGGCUAUCCCCAUAGUUUCUCU